GAUUGCAGUCUGCAACUCGACUGCAUGAAGCUGGAAUCGCUAGUAAUCGCGAAUCAGCAUGUCGCGGUGAAUACGUUCCCGGGUCUUGUACACACCGCCCGUCACACCAUGGGAGUCGGAAAUGCCCGAAGCCAGUGACCCAACCUUUAAGGAGGGAGCUGUCGAAGGCAGGUCUGGUAACUGGGGUGAAGUCGUAACAAGGUAGC
rnacentral:rRNA from 1 species